rnacentral:lncRNA from 1 species
CCCGCGAAUAAAAUGUCUCUCCGGUCGCCGCGGCUUCUCGUCCGCUCCGCUUCCGCUGGAUGCACGGACGCGCGGGCAGGGCGCCGGCGGGUCGCCGGACUGUCCUCCGUCUCUCUCCCCAUCCGUACGCCCCCAAUCCUAUCGCUCUCCUUCUGGGUUCCAAGAUCUCGCGAUCUGUUUUAUCUCAUUUCGAUCUUUUGUCAAAUGCUUUGUGGAGAAUACCGCUCGCGGCUGCUGCCGCUUCUGGCUUCUGAAUCCCGCUCGCGGGGAACUGGCGACGGAGAGUGGAGAGCCCCUCGAUUUGGGCAUUGGGGGGAUUUUUGCCCCACUAAUUUUGGCGAAAUUCAGUGAGUGAGUGGAAGUACCAUGCUGCUGGUUGCUGGCAAUCACUCGGAAAGAAGUUGUUUGUUUCUUUUACCAUAGGUAAUGGACCAAUGCGGCUAAUUAGUUUCUGAAUUAGCCUUCAUAAGAAAUAUUUGCACUCUCUGAAUUUUUACAGUGAAGAGUAUUUAUUUUGACAUGUUUCUCUUUUGGAGAAUAUGCAAUGUUGUUCUGAAAGUACUCAAAAUAUGCUGGUAAUAACAUUUUUCUUGAUUCAUCGCUUGUAUAUUAGCAAGGUCUUGUGGGAUGUUCGACACCAGCCCAUACAUAUUCACGCCUGAGUAUUAAAUUGUUGGGAACGUUUGACUAAAAUGGAUUCAGCAAAGAUAGAAUUAGGCAUAUCAAUACAGACACUGAUGCAUUUUCUGAAGAAACAAAGAAGAUACAGAAGUAUUAUGGCGCUAUUUGUGGCAGCUAGACGUAAUUGCCUGAAAUACAAGGUAGGCAUUAUUCUUCAAAGUCUAAUCGAAAUUUUUCUUGAUUCAGUGUUUACAUAUCAGCAUCACAUUGAAUGAUUGUUUGAUGCCAGUCGCCCAGACCAUGUAGAUAUAUAAAACUUCUAUUAGUUACUAACCAUAUGUAUUAUGUAUUCACCUAUACCCCUCUUCUAGUGUAGAGAAUGAUAUCUUUCUGUUUACGAGGUAUUGUAUAGAAUGUAUGACAAAAACAGGUCAGAGAUAUAAGUAAGCAUAUAAAUAGAUAUACAGAUGCAUUACGAAAAGAAGAUACAGAUGUUUUACAAAAAAAGAAAAGAUACAGAUGCAUCAGUGAUGCUAUUUGUUCAGCUAAACAUAAGUGCAUUAAUUCUGAAAUACUAUAUUUGCCAUUAUUUCUGAAGCUUCAAUAGAAAACAGUAUCAGAUUAUCUGCGUAUUGCAUAAUCUUGCUUCAUGCUACAACUUACAUAUUUGUUAACAAGCAGGUCACUAUGGAAGUGAACUGAUGAAGGAAGAGGGAUCCGGAGGCGUGGGGAUCUG